UACGUAGGGUGCGAGCGUUGUCCGGAAUUAUUGGGCGUAAAGGGCGCGUAGGCGGUGAGACACGUUCGUUGUGAAAUCGCCCGGCUCAACUGGGCGGGGUCAGCGGAUACGGUCUCACUUGAGCAAGCUAGGGGGCAAUGGAAUUCCCGGUGUAGUGGUGGAAUGCGUAGAUAUCGGGAGGAACACCAGUGGCGAAGGCGGUUGCCUGGGGCUUUGCUGACGCUGAUGCGCGAAAGCGUGGGGAGCGAUCCGG
rnacentral:rRNA from 1 species